rnacentral:rRNA from 1 species
GAAUAUUGGACAAUGGGCGCAAGCCUGAUCCAGCCAUACCGCGUGGGUGAAGAAGGCCUUCGGGUUGGAACGCCCUCUUGUUGGGCAAGGAAAGCCGUCGGCUAAUGCACGGUUGUUCUUACGGUACCCAAAGAUGAUGCCCCGGCCAACCUCGUGCCAGGCGCCGCGGGAAUACGAGGGGUGCAAGCGUUACUCGGAAUUACUGGGCGUAAAGCGUGCGUAGGUGGUUGGUUAAGUCUGGUGUGAAAGCCCUGGGCUCAACCUGGGAAUUGCAGUGGAUACUGGGCGACUAGAGUGUGGUGGAGGGUAGUGGAAUUCCCGGUGUAGCAGUGAAAUGCGUAGAGAUCGGGAGGAACAUCCAUGGCGAAGGCAGCCCCCUGUGCCUGUACUGACGCUCAUGCACGAAAGCGUGGGGAGCAAACAG